CACACUGCGGUUUCCCAGGAUCAUGAUGAAUUUGGCCUCGUCGGUCCCCCACUGCUCUUCCCCAGCUGCAUACAAGUCCUUCGCAGAGAUCUGCAUCCACCACUCCUGACUCAUCUCUGGUCCCCUGGAACCAUCAAACCAAAACAACACACUGCUGAUCAGUCAGUGGUUAAAAGUACUGUGGCCAAGACAGUCUCUGUAUGGUUUACAGGGUGCAUCACUGGUGAGAAUAUCAACUCCCCUCUGUGAACUGACCUGAAGUAAAACAACCAGCAUCUUCUUAAAGUGACCUGAAGUGUCCGCGGUUAUGUCCUCCUCUAUGUCUCGGCCGUAGGCUGCAGACAUAGACAUCAAUGUAAAAUGUUGAGAGCUAAAUAAAUAAUAUGUUGAUUUAAAAUGG